rnacentral:rRNA from 1 species
UCGAUCACGUGUGAAUCAUCGAAUCUUUGAACGCAAAUUGCGCUUUCGAGAUAUCUCGAAAGCACGUUCGUUCGAGCGUCGAACAUACUUUUGUAAAAAAGAAAAUCGUCCAUGAGGGUUCGACCUCCUUUCGAGGAGACGAUCCCUUCAAAAUCACGCGAGGACCGAAGAAGGCGGGGUUCCCGGCGACGAAAAGGGCGGGUGAAGGAAAGGCGCGCGUUCCUCUUUCGAAAGGCGAAUUCGAAAGUCUCGAAAGAGGGCGCGUCAUUCGUAUCUUCAUCGGCAAAUCAACCUCUCGUCGUCGUACCCUGUCGUCUCCGUCGUUCUCUUCGAAACAAAACCAUCAUUUCAUCGACCUCGAAUCGAACGAGAUUACCCGCUGAAUUUAAGCAUAUCAAUAAGCGGAGG